rfam:Tumebacillus algifaecis strain THMBR28 chromosome, complete genome.
CGCGGGGUGGAGCAGUUGGCAGCUCGUCGGGCUCAUAACCCGAAGGUCGCAGGUUCAAGUCCUGUCCCCGCAA